rnacentral:rRNA from 1 species
AGGAUAAACGCUGGCGGCGUGCAUGAGACAUGCAAGUCGAACGGACUCCAGGCUUGCUUGGAGUUAGUGGCGAACGGCUGAGUAACGCGUAGGUGACCUACCCCGAAGUGGGGAAUAACUGCCCGAAAGGGUGGCUAAUACCGCAUGUGGUGAUGCGUUCGUUCGCAUCUCCAAAGCCGUGAGGCGCUUCGGGAGGGGCCUGCGUCCGAUUAGCUCGUUGGUGGGGUAACGGCUCACCAAGGCGACGAUCGGUAGGUGGUCUGAGAGGACGAUCACCCAGACUGGGACUGAGACACGGCCCAGACUCCUACGGGAGGCAGCAGUCGGGAAUUUGCGCAAUGGGCGAAAGCCUGACGCAGCAACGCCGCGUGAGGAUGAAGGCUUCGGGUUGUAAACCUCUUUCUCAGGAAGAUAAUGACGGUACCUGAGGAAUAAGACACGGCUAACUACGUGCCAGCAGCCGC